rnacentral:lncRNA from 8 species
AUGAAGCACAUGCUAAGCUACAGGACUGUUUUGCUAUCACAGACUGGAUCAUGUUCCGGGAUUCCUCCGAUGGCAUUGAGGAGUACACCACAUCAGUCACCCACAGUGACUGUGCAUACAUACCCCAAUCAAUACAGGGCUAAGAUUGAAUUAUACUACACCGGCUCCGACGCUCGUCUUAUGUGGCAGGGCUUGCAAACUAUUACAGACUACAAACGGAAGCACAGCCGCGAGCUGCCUAGUGACACGAGCCUACCAGACGAGCUAAAUCACUUCUAUGCUCGCUUCGAGGCAAGCAACACUGAGGCAUGCAUGAGAGCAUCACCUGUUCCAGACGACUGUGUGAUCACGCUCUCCAUAGCCAACGUAAGUAAGACCUUUAAACAGGUCAACAUACACAAGGCUGCGGGGCCAGAUGGAUUACCAGGAUGUGUGCUCCAGGCAUGUGCUGACCAACUGGCAGGUGUCUUCACUGACAUUUUCAACAUGUCCCUGAUUGAGUCUGUAAUACCAACAUGUUUCAAGCAGACCACCAUAGUCCCUGUGUCCAAGAACACAAAGGCAACCUGGCUAAAUGACUACAGACCCGUAGCACUCACGUCUGUAGCCAUGAAGUGCUUUGAAAGGUUGGUAAUGGCUCACAUUAACACCAUUAUCCCAGAAACCCUAGACCCACUCCAAUUUGCAUACCGCCCAAACAGAUCCACAGAUGAUGCAAUCUCUAUUACACUCCACACUGCCCUAUCCCACCUGGACAAAAGGAACACUUAUGUGAGAAUGCUAUUCAUUGACACCAUAGUACCCUCAAAGCUCAUCACUAAGCUAAGGAUCCUGGGACUAAACACCUCCCUCUGCAACUGGAUCCUGGACUUCCUGACGGGCCGCCCCCAGGUGGUGAGGGUAGGUAGCAACACAUCUGCCACGCUGAUCCUCAACACUGGAGCUCCCCAGGGGUGCGUGCUCAGUCCCCUCCUGUACUCCCUGUUCACUUACGACUGCAUGGCCAGGCACGACUCCAACACCAUCAUUAAGUUUGCAGACGACACAACAGUGGUAAGCAGGUUGAGAGCUUCAAGUUCCUUGGUGUCCACAUCAACAACAAACUAG